rnacentral:rRNA from 1 species
UGGGGAAUAUUGGACAAUGGGGGCAACCCUGAUCCAGCGAUGCCGCGUGAGUGAAGAAGGCCUUCGGGUCGUAAAGCUCUUUAGGUUGGGAAGAAGGAUAUGUGGGGAUAAUCCAUGUAUUUUGACGGUACCGACAGAAUAAGCACCGGCAAACUCUGUGCCAGCAGCCGCGGUAAUACAGAGGGUGCGAGCGUUAAUCGGAGUUACUGGGCGUAAAGGGCGCGUAGGCGGUGUUAUGAGUGUGAUGUGAAAGCCCCGGGCUUAACCUGGGAAGUGCAUCGCAAACGAUAAUACUGGAGUAUAUGAGAGGGUGGCGGAAUUUCCGGUGUAGCGGUGAAAUGCGUAGAGAUCGGAAGGAACGUCAAUGGCGAAGGCAGCCACCUGGCAUAAUACUGACGCUGAGGCGCGAAAGCGUGGGGAGCGAACAGGAUUAGAUACCCCCGUAGUCC